CCCGCACAAGCAGCGGAGCGUGUGGUUUAAUUCGAUGAUACACGAAGAACCUUACCAAGGUUUGACAUGCAAGUGGUAGUGAACUGAAAAGGGAACGACCCUUCGGGAGCUUGCACAGGUGCUGCAUGGCUGUCGUCAGCUCGUGUCGUGAGAUGUUCGGUUAAGUCCGCUAACGAGCGCAACCCUCACUGUGUGUUAUACGUGUCACACGGGACCGCCGGUUUUAAGCCGGAGGAAGGUGGGGAUGACGUCAAGUCAGCAUGGCCUUUAUAUCUUGGGCCACACACACGCUACAAUGGCCAGUACAAUGGGAUGCCAAGCCGCGAGGUGGAGCUAAUCCCAUAAAACCGAUCGUAGUCCGGAUCGCAGUCUGCAACCCGACUGCGUGAAGUCGGAAUCGCUAGUAAUCGUGAAUCAGAAUGUCACGGUGAAUACGUUCCCGGGCCUU
rnacentral:rRNA from 1 species